AAUCAACGCUGGCGGCGUGCCUCAGACAUGCAAGUCGAACGAUUAAAGCUCUCUUCGGAGAGUGUAUAGAGUGGCGCACGGGUGAGUAACACGUAAGUAAUCUACCUUUGAGUGGGGAAUAACCCGGGGAAACCCGAGCUAAUACCGCAUAAUGCAGCGGCACCGCAAGGUGACAGUUGUUAAAGGAGCAAUCCGCUUAAAGAGGAGCUUGCGGCAGAUUAGCAGUUGGUAAGGUAAUGGCUUACCAAGGCUUCGAUCUGUAUCCGGCCUGAGAGGGG
rnacentral:rRNA from 1 species